rnacentral:rRNA from 1 species
UACGUAGGUGGCAAGCGUUGUCCGGAAUUAUUGGGCGUAAAGCGCGCGCAGGCGGUUCCUUAAGUCUGAUGUGAAAGCCCACGGCUCAACCGUGGAGGGUCAUUGGAAACUGGGGAACUUGAGUGCAGGAGAGAAGAGUGGAAUUCCACGUGUAGCGGUGAAAUGCGUAGAGAUCCGGAAGAACACCGGUGGCGAAGGCGGUCUGCUGGGGUCGAACUGACGCUGAGGCGCGACAGCGUGGGGAGCAAACAGG